CUCGUAGGCGGCCAACUAAGUCAUACGUGAAAUCCCUCAGCUUAACUGGGGAACUGCGUGUGAUACUGGAUGGCUUGGAUUUGGGAGAGGGAUGCGGAAUUCCAGGUGUAGCGGUGAAAUGCGUAGAUAUCUGGAGGAACACCGGUGGCGAAGGCGGCAUCCUGGACCAAUAUUGACGCUGAGGAGCGAAAGCUAGGGAGCAAACG
rnacentral:rRNA from 1 species